GUCGAUUAACAAUUAGUUUAUUAAAUAAGCAAUUUAUACAAACAUACUCAGAUAAGUAUUUUUAGACAUUAGACCUGCACAGUGCUGGCAAAGUAAGAUCAGGUAGCACAAAGUUGAUCUGUGGAAAAUGGCUCCGUAAAUAAUUAGAGGCAGACUACUGUAACUGAUUUGGGUGAUUAGAAAUAAUAAUAAAUGAGGAAAUAUGGAUCUUGAAUAAGAUGUUUUAUCAUUAUGUCAAACACCCUGAUUCUCCUCCUGAAACUGUCAUCAAAACAAAACACUAAGCUCUCAAUGACCACUAUGCUAGCAACCUACUUUUCUACCCUACCCUUACCCUCUAGCAUGUAAGCUCACUGAGCAGGGCACUCAAUCCCUCUGUUCCUGUGCGUCCAACUUGUCCCGUUACAAAUACGUGUCUGUUAGUCCACGCAUUGUAAAGCGCUUUAUAAAUACUCCUACUAAUAAUAAUGUGGUGGUUCCCAAUCCAGUCCUCAAGGCCCACCAUAAUUCCAGAACCUAUGUAUUCCUCUGUUUUAUUCCAAUGGAAAUACUGACAAUACCUAAACUGUUGGGAGGUCUUGAGGACUGAUUUGGGAACUACGCCCUAGUGUUCAGUUUUCACACAGUAAUAAAACCAAAGUCCUAGUCAUAGUUUUACUAUGCAAAAAUAAAGCAACAUAGUAUUUUUCAGAAAAAGAACAAUCCUGUGAGUGUGCUCUCAUUUGUAACAUUGUGUGUUGGCUGGAGUUGUUAAGGUGCCAGGAUGGUCCUGGUGCUUCCUUACCCGUAGGUAUGAAACUGUUCGGUUGGCUCUCCAGUGCCAUUCCUCACUGUCCCCAUCCAUUCCACAUCCACUUUCAGAAAUUCAUCUUGAGGGAGCACAGACUGCUGCUGGCCAUGGGCUCAACUGAUUGGCUUAGAGCAGUCAUUUACCUGGGUCCAGCGCGAUGUCCCUCUGCACUGGCUCGGCCCCGCCUGCUCCCCUGCCAACGUCAGUCGGUGGGGGAGACCUAAUGCGAAUGCGCAGCAAUGGUCACGCUCACGUUAGGAUUUCCCCAAAGGAAAGCAUUGUUUAAUGCUUUCCUAUGGGGAUUCCGGUGAUGCUGAAAGUUCUUAUGCAUAGUGUGAGGACAUCCAGCGUCACUUUUGAGCCCAGAAGUCCCUCUAGACAGCGAAUGCUGUAUUAGGCUUAUGUAAUGUAUGAUCAUAUACUGUAACCAAACCCCCAUUAUAUUUUGCCUAGGUGAGG